UCCGAGUUGUCCCCGGCAGUCCUCUUAGAGUCCCCGGCAUUACCCGCUGGCAACUAAGAGCAGGGGUUGCGCUCGUUGCGGCACUUAAGCCAACACCUCACGGCACGAGCUGACGACAGCCAUGCAGCACCUGUGCAGGGCCCCGAAGGACACGGGCUUUCACCCGCUUUACCCUGCAUGUCAAGCCCAGGUAAGGUGGGGAUGACGUUUCCAGGUUAGG
rnacentral:misc_RNA from 1 species